UUUUCGCGGCAAAUGCGCAGUUCAUAUUUGUCUCUCGCGAUCAAGUGAGAGAGUUUUCGAGACGGUGAAAGGGAAUUUUCAUUUUCAACUACGUUUAAGGAAGAGUAAGCAGAAAGUGACGAUUCUAUCUGAAUUCAUCGCUGUGAAUAGUCUUUGUUCGGACGGCGAGGUCUUCAUAUGAAUCGAUCGCCAAAGAGCUAGGGGUGCCUCAUUUCAAGUUCGUUAUGUCCGUUCAAGACCUGGAUUGGAGGCAGAAGGAUGUCCAAGAGUUAAAGAGUCAUAUGUCAAAACUUAAAUGCUUUAUGUUUUUGGUGGUGCAUGGUAUAUUACAGGAAAAAAAAGGUUAGCUAUAUAUCCUGGAGAAUAAUGAAUCAACCUUAUGCCCUUUGAAUGUGGAAAAGGGAAGCCCGGGGCUGGGAGGAGCAGUUACCGUUGGAAACAAUUUAUUUGCUAUUGGUGGGGAAAGGCAUUGAAACAGAUUAGGUGGGGCAUACGGCAAGUAGUUCACUGGAGAGGAACUGUUACUGUAUUGGGAUUCUUGAAAGAGGUAAUUUUUCAAUUGAAUGGUGCCAAGUGAAUUCUAUAAUUUGGUAGAUUAAUGUGAAUAUUUAACCUUCAGAAGAAACCAAAAGUUAAUAUUUUUUAAUGUUAAAUCACAAUUACUUUAUUCUAUGAUUUCAAUGACAUUAUUGGAUAUAUAUUCAAUUGAACCUUUUCAAUUUUACUCUAGUAGUAUUAUUAAAUAGAUUAUAGGUGGUUUUCAUUACUUUUUCUUUUGAAUAUGUAUUUUCUUGUCCAUGUCUAUACAAUUAUUUAACAUUCUCCUUUCGAAUUUAAAUCUUCUCAUGUCCCAUUGUAUCUCUGUCAGAGAAAAAAAAGGGUUAUUCAACGUGGAGAAUGAUCAAAGUGUUGGGGUUGAUGCCCUAAAGUCUCGUGUCCUAUAGUUUGUAAACAGUUUGUACGAAUGCUUGUGUUGUAUAAUAUAUGAUAUUUUACUUC